rnacentral:misc_RNA from 1 species
GUAUUUUGUUGUUGUCAUUGCUUCCUUGCGGAAUCGCUGACAGGUUUAAAGUAUUAGCGUAAUUUCUCGUUAUAACAUAGAAACAAUUGCACAUUCUUUGAAAGGAUGCUUAGUCCUUCGUUAUCGAAAUGAUCCUUCCGCAGGUUCACCUACGGAAA